rnacentral:tRNA from 1 species
GCUGAUGUGGCUCAGUGGUAGAGCACUUCCUUGGUAAGGAAGAGGUCGGCGGUUCAAUUCCGCUCAUCAGCU